CGGCAGCACGAGAGAGCUUGCUCUCUUGGUGGCGAGUGGCGGACGGGUGAGUAAUAUAUCGGAACGUGCCCAGUAGCGGGGGAUAACUACUCGAAAGAGUGGCUAAUACCGCAUACGCCCUACGGGGGAAAGGGGGGGAUCGCAAGACCUCUCACUAUUGGAGCGGCCGAUAUCGGAUUAGCUAGUUGGUGGGGUAAAGGCUCACAAGGCAACGAUCCGUAGCUGGUUUGAGAGGACGCCAGCCACACUGGGACUGAAACACGGCCCAGACUCCUACGGGAGGCAGCAGUGGGGAAUUUUGGACAAGGGGGGAAACCCUGAUCCACCCAUCCCGCGUGUAUGAAGAAGGCCUUCGGGUUGUAAAGUACUUUUGGCAGAAAAAAAAAAGCAUCCCCUAAAACGGGAUGCUGCUGACGGU
rnacentral:rRNA from 1 species